UAUGGGGCAGUUAUGGGUCCAAUGGGGCAAUUAAUGGGGUCCUAUGGGGUAAUUAUGGGUCCUAUGGGGCAGUUAUGGGUUCAAUGGGGCAAUUAUGGGGCAGUUAUGGGGCCUAUGGGGCAAUUAUGGGGCCUAUGGGGCNUAUGGGGCAGUUAUGGGGCCUAUGGGGCAAUUAUGGGGCCUAUGGGGCAGUUAUGGGUCCUAUGGGGGUAAUUAUGGAUCCUAUGGGGCAGUUAUGGGGCCUAUGGGGCAGUUAUGGGUCCUAUGGGGUAAUUAUGGGUCCUAUGGGGCAAUUAAUGGGGUCUAUGGGGUAUUAAUGGGGUCUAUGGGGUAUUUAAGGGGGUAUUUAUGGGGUCUAUGGGGUAUUUAUGGGGUAAUUAUGGGGUCUAUGGGGUAUUUAAGGGGGUUAUGGGGCAAUUAAUGGGGUCUAUGGGGUAUUUAUGGGGUAUUUAUGGGGUCUAUGGGGUAUUUAAUGGGGUAAUUAUGGGGUCUAUGGGGUAUUUAAGGGGGUUAUGGGGCAAUUAAUGGGGUCUAUGGGGUAUUUAAGGGGGUUAUGGGGCAAUUAAUGGGGUCUAUGGGGUAUUUAAGGGGGUUAUGGGGCAAUUAAUGGUGUCUAUGGGGUAUUUUAGGGGGUAUUUAUGGUGUCUAUGGGGUAUUUUAGGGGGUAUUUAUGGGGUCUAUGGGGUAUUUAAUGGGGUAAUUGUUUUCUAUGGGGCAGUUGUUCCCCCCUUUCCAGGCCAUGCAGCGAAGGGGGCACGGAGCCGUGGGGGGCACAGGUGGGUUCUGACCCCAUAACCAGCCCCAUAACCUGCCCCAUAACCUGCCCCAUAACCCGCCCCAUAACCUGCCCCAUAA
rnacentral:lncRNA from 1 species